UCUGCUUGCACAAUUGCACUGCAUGGGUCUCAGGCUAAGAGCCUGAGCCAUGGGCUUGAAAAUGUGGCAGUAGGCCAAGGGACAUGAUCUCUCCUCCUGUCUGGAUGGAUAAACAAGAUUUCAGCUGUCACACAUACUGUGUUGACUAGGACAGACUUUUUGUUAUUGUUUCAAGAGCAUAUGAGGGAUUUUUAUCUCCGGGAUCAUUUUCAUAUACUCAUCAAACUCUUCUUCUUUCAGGUUUUUGGCCAGUUGCAGGAAGACUGUAUCUGAUUUGCCAGCUAGCUGAGGCUGAGUAUGGUCACUUCAUCAUGUGUGGGCUAACAUCUCCCUGCAUGUGUGUUGGGUUCUCACAAAUUUGUCUGCAUCUACCCACUAACGAGCCCUAUCCUCUGAGGAGGCUACAAGUGAACUGAUUCCUUAAGCUUCCCACACCCCAUGGGUAGAGACUGGCAGCAUUAACCUCAGGACCUCAAAAUUUCAGCCCCUGUCCUGGCCACUAAUCAAGAGUGCCCUCUAUGGUCUCUCUCAGGCAGAAGUGACAGAACUGAUU
rnacentral:lncRNA from 12 species